AUUGAACGCUGGCGGCAUGCCUUACACAUGCAAGUCGAACGGCAGCACGGGUGCUUGCACCUGGUGGCGAGCGGCGAACGGGUGAGUAAUACAUCGGAACAUGUCCUGUAGUGGGGGACAGCCCGGCGAAAGCCGGAUUAAUACCGCAUACGAUCUACGGAUGAAAGCGGGGGCCCUUCGGGCCUCGCGCUAUCGGGUUGGCCGAUGGCUGAUUAGCUAGUUGGUGGGGUAAAGGCCUACCAAGGCGACGAUCAGUAGCUGGUCUGAGAGGACGACCAGCCACACUGGGACUGAGACACGGCCCAGACUCCUACGGGAGGCAGCAGUGGGGAAUUUUGGACAAUGGGCGAAAGCCUGAUCCAGCAAUGCCGCGUGUGUGAAGAAGGCCUUCGGGUUGUAAAGCACUUUUGUCCGGAAAGAAAUCCUUGGCCCUAAUACGGUCGGGGGAUGACGGUACCGGAAGAAUAAGCACCGGCUAACUACGUG
rnacentral:rRNA from 1 species